rnacentral:rRNA from 1 species
UACGAAGGUGGCAAGCGUUGUUCGGAUUUACUGGGCGUACAGGGAGCGUAGGCGGUUGGGUAAGCCCUCCGUGAAAUCUCCGGGCCCAACCCGGAAAGUGCGGAGGGGACUGCUCGGCUAGAGGAUGGGAGAGGAGCGCGGAAUUCCCGGUGUAGCGGUGAAAUGCGUAGAGAUCGGGAGGAAGGCCGGUGGCGAAGGCGGCGCUCUGGAACAUUUCUGACGCUGAGGCUCGAAAGCGUGGGGAGCAAACAGG